GACGAAGGGGGCUAGCGUUGUUCGGAAUUACUGGGCGUAAAGCGCGUGUAGGCGGUUGCCCAAGUCGGGUGUGAAGCCUUGAGCUCAACUCAAGAAAUGCACUCGGUACUGGGUGACUAGAGGACCGGAGAGGAUAGUGGAAUUCCCAGUGUAGUGGUGAAAUACGUAGAGAUUGGGAAGAACACCAGUGGCGAAGGCGGCUAUCUGGACGGUUUCUGACGCUAAGACGCGAAAGCGUGGGGAGCAA
rnacentral:rRNA from 1 species